rnacentral:rRNA from 1 species
CGCAUCUGUGCAUGCAGCAUAUCAAUAAGCGGAGGAAAAGGAGUAUACCUACGCUUAGGAUGUUGACACACGCGCGUGCUCGACUCUAUACAUGACUCUGUGCAUAUCAAUAAGCGGAGGAAAAGAAACUAACAAGGAUUCCCUUAGUAACGGCGAGUGAAGCGGGAAGAGCUCAAAUUUGAAAUCUUCAAGGUUUUACCUUGACGAAUUGUAGUUUAAAGAAGUGUUUUCUGUUGAAGUUUUGGUAAAAGUUCUUUGGAAUAGGACAUCAUAGAGGGUGAGAAUCCCGUAUUUGACCAUUAUUUUCAGCUGUGUGAUACACUUUCAAAGAGUCGGAUUGUUUGGGAAUGCAGUCCAAAAUGGGUGGUAAAUUUCAUCUAAAGCUAAAUAUUGGCGAGAGACCGAUAGCGAACAAGUACCGUGAGGGAAGGAUGAAAAGAACUUUGAAAAGAGAGUUAAACAGUACGUGAAAUUGUCAAAAGGGAAGCGUUUGACACCAGUGUUGUUUUCUCGAAAAUCAAUUAAAAAGAGUUUGAUUUUGUUGUGUAUUGACCUUAACAGCUUGCAUUUCAAUUUUCUUGCUUUUUUUAAUGCACUUUUCGUUUAACAAGUCAACAUCAGUUUCUUUUGUUGUAAAAAGGUCAUUGGAAGGUGGCUUUCUUUUGGAGAAAGUGUUUAUAGCCUUUGACUCCUGCAAUCGGAGAGACUGAGGUCUGCAGCGUAGAUCCUUCGGGGUUAGAUACAUUUGUGCUAAGUUAUAGCUUUUUAUAGACAACUUGUUGACUAUGAUUAGUCUUGUAGCUUACUCGCUUAUGCUAUUUUACCUACGCUUAGGAUGUUGACACACGCGCGUGCUCG